rnacentral:rRNA from 1 species
CCAAUAGCGUAUAUUAAAGUUGUUGCAGUUAAAAAGCUCGUAGUUGAACUUCGGGGUUUACCCAUUGGUCAGGCUUAAUUGUCUGUACUGGUGAGAUAAAUCUCUACCUUCUGAGGAACUUUCAUGUCAUUAAUUUGGUGUGAUUGGAAAUCAGGACUGUUACUUUGAAAAAAUUAGAGUGUUUAAAGCAGGCUAACGUCUGAAUACAUUAGCAUGGAAU